CGUCUCGUAACAACUGGUCAAUGGGCGGAAGCCCGAACCAGCCAAGUAGCGUGCAGGAUGACGGCCCUAUGGGUUGUAAACUGCUUUUGAAGGGGAGUAAAGUGAGUGACUUGUCAUUCAUUGCAAGUACCCUUGGAAUAAGGACCGGCUAAUUCCGUGCCAGCAGCCGCGGUAAUCAACCAGAAAGUCACGGCUAACUACGUGCCAGCAGCCGCGGUAAU
rnacentral:rRNA from 1 species